rnacentral:lncRNA from 1 species
UGAGACUUAGUCUGCUCAGACCUAAGAGGAAAAACCACCAAGAUUCCAAGGCCCUAUCCAGAUCUGCUUUUUUACCAAACGCUUACGUGAUGCUGAUGCUGCUAGCCUGCUGAGUCCCCUUGGAGUAACAAAGGUGUCACAGAAUUGGAAAAUGCAGUUUCAAAGGAAAUGGAAGGCAGCUCCUGACAGUUCCUCUUGGCAGUGUAGUCAGGGCAAGCCAAAAGUCUGGAUAUCCAUUCCUAGAGCAAGGCCGGCAGGUAGGCACGAGGGUGGUGGCCUCUUUCUCAUUAUGUGUCAGACAUCUUCACUAAGCACCCUCGAACUGCUGCUUCUCCUCUAG